rnacentral:rRNA from 1 species
GACGUAGGGCGCGAGCGUUGUCCGGAUUUAUUGGGCGUAAAGAGCUCGUAGGCGGUUUGUCGCGUCUGCUGUGAAAUCCCGAGGCUCAACCCCGGGCCUGCAGUGGGUACGGGCAGACUAGAGUGCGGUAGGGGAGACUGGAAUUCCUGGUGUAGCGGUGAAAUGCGCAGAUAUCAGGAGGAACACCAAUGGCGAAGGCAGCACUCUGGGACGUGACUGACGCUGAGACGCGAAAGCGUGGGGAGCGAACAGG